rnacentral:rRNA from 1 species
UACGUAGGUGGCAAGCGUUGUCCGGAUUUACUGGGCGUAAAGGAUGCGUAGGCGGACAUUUAAGUCAGAUGUGAAAUACCCGAGCUUAACUUGGGUGCUGCAUUUGAAACUGGGUGUCUAGAGUGCAGGAGAGGUAAGUGGAAUUCCUAGUGUAGCGGUGAAAUGCGUAGAGAUGCGGAGGAACACCGAUGGCGAAGGCAGCCCCCUGGGCUAAGACUGACGCUGAGGCACGAAAGCGUGGGGAGCAAACAGG